UAUAGCCUCAGAAGCACAGUGUUAGACAGACAGAAAAGUGUAUCGCACGGCGCACAGCGCAUAGCGUAAACUCGAAGUAUCGCAAACCGACCGAAUCGUCUCUAAACGCAAUCGACGAGCUACACAGCUGCUUGGCAUACACAGCAAGCCAAUAAAACACAAACUAAUUGAAAGCGUGUGAAGUAAUCGCAAAUUGAAUUUUGAAAACAGCAAAAAAUAAAAAGUAAAAAUAAAAAUCAACUAAAAUAAAGCGAGCAAUCAAGUUGAAAACUGAUUAUUUCGUAUAGAAAAAAAUUGUUUUCUGUUCAAGAAGUAGAACGAAGCGGGAUAGCUGUAAAACCCCAUUGUAUUGUUUUCUAUUCUAACUCUAUUCAUUGAUAUGGUGAUUUGAUGCUUGCUGUCUAUAACGGUAAAACGUUUUUUGUAAGCGACCAAAAAGUACAGUGAAGUCAUUAACAAAAAAAAAAAAAAAUAAGUUUUUUUUUUCUUUCGGUUGGUGCAUAUGCAACGUGAGGUGAAGUGAGCCCACGCAAAGUCGGAGGAAAACGUUGUGAAAUAGUUACGGUUUUUUCCGUUUGUUUUCUUCCAUUUUCCGCAUCUAUCUUGCAGCUGUCUUUUCUCUGAUAUUUUUCACUGAACUUGGCAGACUCUUCAAAGCUAUAUCUAGCUCUUUUCGCGUUUAGAAACAAAAAAAACCAAAGCAUAAGGGGAGUAUUGUGCUUCAGACGGAAAAAGAAUAUAAAUAAAAUAAAAAACGACAAGAAAAUAUUUUCUUCAACUUAGGCAAGAACUUUUACAACACAGCUGAGUUACUCGAAAUCUGCUGUGUCUUUGCUCGUAAACUUUGCAGUUAAAAUAAAGCCUCUCACUGAGUGACAUCAACGCGAAUCGUUCGUGAGCAGAUAUUGUAAACAAAUUUAACUACGAAAUAAUACGACAACAAAAGGAACAAAAACAACAAAGUAGUAGUACAACAUUGGAAGUAGCGCAUGAGAAGUAAUCUUUUUAGGUCAAUAAAUUAGGAAUCUCAACAAGCAACCAGGUGAAGUAGCAGAGGAAGGAAAUACGAAAAACGAAAUAAAAAGAAAGUAAAGUA